CUGAGUGUAAGACGUUAAUAAAAGCCUUUUGCAAUAAAUGUCACGAAGGGAGGAGGCGAGGGUGUCGGGCUGGUGAUGUCACUCGUUUCCUCUUCCCUUUGGCAGGCUCGCGGUGUUUACCCAACACCCUCAGGUGCAGCGACUGAGGCGUCGCUAGGCAACCGCACCAUCCCUGGCGCUGCUCUGCCUCUGGCACUCAAGAGGGAGCUUAUGUGGACUUAACUCGGAAAAGAGCAGCAGGGCUGAGGAGCGGAAGGGAGGAUUACCAGGAAAAAUAUUGGAUUGGGCCGAGACACAAGGGCCGAGGCCUUACCUGAGUCCCCGCUGCCGUCGAACAUCGACGCCCUGAGAGGCUUUCGGGGCUCGACGAGGUUCCCACACAACCAGAAAGAGACCCCGGCAGAAGAGCAGGUCCCUGAGAUUGACACGCGUGAUGCGCUGUCGAGUGAGUCUGGAGCCCGAGGAACCAGCGGCGCCGGUUAAAGACGAGCCUGUUCCGGACCCCUGAAAGAUGUGGAGAAGUUAAGGAAGAAGGAAACGGUGAGCGAUGCUGACAGCGCAUGACAAACAUCUCUGUGUUUAGUGACGUUACAACUACAAACGUGCUAGUGCAUGACUGUGCAAGUGAGUGGAAGAAGGACAUAGUGUGCUACAAAAGUGAGUACACUCAAUUACAUUUUUGUACAUACCUUAUGUCUUUUCAUUGGACAACAUCUAAAAUAUGACACUUUGAUGCAAUGUAAAGCAGUCAUUGUACAGCUUGUAGGGUUUCUGCAGGUUUUUACCAACUCAAAUUUAAGACUUUUUAAGACGGUACUGCAAGACCUGUAUCACGACAGAAAUGUAUGAACAUCGUCCAAUUGGUGGUAAAUUUCCACUUACCCAUAACGGAUGCAAAAAGCUAGCAAGAUAGCAAGUGUACAUUAGCUGUGAGUUACCAGAAGCCUCAACAGUGAAGUCACAGAAUGCAAAGAAGAUGUCUGAGUGCAACUCAGACUUUUGCCUGAGAUUUAACUCUGCUGCUAAGACACAAUUUAAGACAUGUGACUGUUAUAUUAAAGGCCAUAUUACAUUUUUGCAAGACAUUUUAAGGUCUUCAUUUUAGAUACAUGAAUUUAAGACUUUUUAAGGAUGCGCAGACACCCUGGUUUGUAUAACAGCACAUUUUAUCCCCAGAAACUGAUGCUGCCACCAAAAAACAGUAUGAAUACUUUUGCAGGACUUUGGAAUCAUUCCCUUUAUUAUCUAAGGUCUUCAUAUUUUUGAGAGCAAAUGGAGCUACAAUAAAGCAUUAAAUAUAUCUGCUGUAUGUGUAACACAUCCAUAUAAUACAUGAGUCUCACUUUCUGAAAUGAGUGACAAAAAAAACAAUGAACUUUUUUCAUGAUACUCUGCUUUUUCAAGCUUUUACUUGUACAACAGAGUAUCAGAGAGCAAACUGAGGCUUUCCCAGGGUUAGAGCCUGCAUGUUCUUCUGAGCACACUUCCACCCACGGUCCAAAGACAAGCAGAUUACACUGAUCAACGAUGAGCGAGGGAGCUCGUAAAGACCAUUAGCUCAACCAAAGCGAAUGAUUAUGUUGGCAAAGCAGAAGAGAAGUAAAACCAUUUAAAGGAGAUAGAAGGUAAUAAAAAAGGUAUGUUUAAACGCCUUUUAGUGCGAGGUGAGAAGUCAAUGUGAAUAUUUUGCAGUUUUAAAAAAAGUGACACCUCUCCAAGUAUGCCAUAAAGCGUUAGCUGUAACAUUAAACUGCACUAAAAGCAGUAGGAAGGGAAAACUCUCAAAGGCCAAUGAACAGUUUCCUCAAAAAAAAAAAGUUUUUCUUCACAAGAACGGGGAGUAUAAAGGAUGACAGUCUAAAAUGAAUGCACCAUUUCAUUAGACGUACGUGGAUCAAACUUGUUAUAAUGCGAUGUGUGUUUACAGGAGUCAGCUGACGGUUGCAGUGAGAACAGAGCUCUGCUUGACCUCAUGAGAGCAGUCGCUCUGCAAGUUUCUCUGCUCGAGCAGUUGGUGAGGACCGCCAGUGACAGCUGGUGACAAACUCAGCUUUCUAUCACCAACACGGCCACCGAGAAGCAGGCUCGACUCUCACCGCUAACAUUUGUAACCAUUAACAAAAAGAAUGUUUCAAACAGGAGCUAUAAAUACACUCUGUGACUCCCAGAAAGGAUCUGUUAACGACAGUGCCUUGCUAAAGUAUUCAUAUCUCUUUUUGUAACGUUUUAAUCACAUUACAACCUGAAAUUGUGAUGCGGUAAUCCUGUCACGACAAGCAAUAAAUCAAUUCAUUACACACUAAAUAAAAAAUGACCUUGAUAA